rnacentral:miRNA from 1 species
GCUGUGGGAUCUGGCAUUGUGGCUCCUGCAUGGGAUCCAUGGCCGGUGGUGCCUGGACCUACGAUCCCAUUUCUGCUGUCACAGUAAAGUCUGCC